GAGCUAGUGCAGCACAAUGGUUUGAGUUUUGGACUAUGACUCUGGAGACCAGGGUUCAAAUCCCUGCUAAUCCA